GGUUUAUAACCCCCUCUAUUUCAAAGGAGUUUUAAUGAUUCUUCAAAGAAUGUCUAAUUUUUUACGUUUCUGUCUCAUUUUUCUGGAUCCCGAAACUGAUCUCCUUCUCAAAAUCACACUUGAACCCUAAAAUCCCUUUCAUUCCUUUCUCGCUUUCUUCCUCGCACACUACACCCUUAUUUCUUUCUCGCUUUCUUCCUGAACCCUAAACUCACCGUCUCUUCCUCGUACUGACUAUCCUUCAGAAUCGUAGUCGCGGAACCAUUGGUAGACGGAGCUGCAGCGGUGGUUGCGUGGUCUUCCUUUUGUUACUGUUCUGUCAGUCUCAGUUGGUUGUGGACGUGACUCUGACUCCGGUUGAGGAUCUUGCGGUUUUGGUGCUUGUUGCUGGUCAUUUUGGAGAAUUUGUUGUCUCUGUUGCUGUAGAACUUGAAAAGAGAAAAAGAUAAAGGGAACAUGAAGUCAUUUUCUUAAAGAAAAAGAAGAUUCCUGUUUUAAAGCGAGAAAUUAUGCCUAGUAUAAGCCACCAUCGAAUUCAAGUUUCAGGUUAAGAAGGAGAAGUUACUUUUCUGAAUUGUGACUCUUUAUUAGCUUGUUCUCUCAUUUGGAAAGGUAAUAAGAUCCGAACUCAUUUAUAUGUGUGAUGUAUUUGGCUGGAUGACAUAGAUUAUUAGGCGUAGGGUAGAUAUAAUUUAUUAGGCAUUGCCAGAGAGCUUUCUGAAAUUUAUGACUAGGACACCACUGAUUCACUGCAGUACAAAUCAACUCUAAGCAUCUUCUCAUUGCCUCUUCUGCAUGACUACUUAUCUUAUUCAUUUGUACUUAACAAUGACUUUUU